rnacentral:sRNA from 25 species
CGGACAGGGGGGUCUCUGCCCAGGCAGGGCCUGUCCGUACAAAGCAGGUUGCGCGUGAGCGUGGCCAGUGGUUGUCGCUCGGGGGUGAUCGCCG